UCAGACCUCAAUGUCAGCAAUAUGGUUAGAGUUGAAGUUAAUAGAUUCCGAAAGAGUAUCUGCCCAGGUGGCUGGGCUUUUAGCUGGCUUUGUAAUAGCAUUUAUAACACACAACCAUAGGAUGCAGUGAGGUUUGGGCAGCACACCUCAAGGCCCGCCCAGAUAGUAAGAUGUUAACAUAACAAAAUGAACAAUUUUCAAAGAGCCUGGAUUUCAGCAAAACUUCCCUUUCACGAAUUACUAAUUUCUGCCGUGGGAUUUCAUUUUCUACUUUUUCCUCUUCCUAUUGACCUAUGCCAAGGGAUUCAACAUCCUCCAGCCCGAAGCUAAGGAAAGCCUCCCAUGCCCCACCCCUUCGGUCAGGAAAGCAACAAAGGAGCCUCUGUCACACUGGCUCUCCCCGUUCCCUGCGGGACACUAGACAAACCGGACAGCAGGCAGUUAAUCUGUGGGCUAGCAGGGUGAAGAGAAGCUGGCUGGCAGCCUCUGCUUUGUUUAUCUGUUCCCUAAGACUGUUCCAAGUACAUCCUGGCUAGUUUUCGUGGUCUUUGUAUCUAAGUAGGACAAUCUUAAUUGUUUACCAACUGACUCGUUUUUCUUUCCCCUAAGAUAAUCACAUCCUAUAUUAAAUUCGACCCUUGUUGCUCUGCCGGUUUCGAUAAACAAAGAUAAAUGAGACACGAGGAAGCAGACAUGGUCUGUAUACACCGGUCGAACUGCGCAGGACCGCAAUGACAGGCCGACGCCAUAGAUGGAAGGAGUGACAACAUGGUGACGGGGUGAUAUUUACCCCACCUCCGACCCCGCGACUUAAUCAUCUGAAGCAAAUAAGGGCAUUGUACGGACUGAAGUACACAGCCCCACUAGAUUUACGAUGCAGCACUCCUAGGACACGGACGAUCAACAAAGUGCUUUGAAGCAUUAUCAUUUAAUGUCACAAUUUUCCACGGAAACUCAGAGGGCAGCAAAAGUGGGUUACCAGCCCAGGAUGAGAGUCUACAAGAGAACUGAGAAAAAAAUUUAGGCUGAAAGAACUCAAAGCUGGG